rnacentral:rRNA from 1 species
UACGGGGGGGGCAAGCGUUGUUCGGAAUUACUGGGCGUAAAGGGCGCGUAGGCGGCCUUCUAAGUCGGACGUGAAAUCCCUCGGCUUAACCGAGGAACUGCGUCCGAUACUGAAAGGCUUGAAUCCGGGAGAGGGAUGUGGAAUUCCAGGUGUAGCGGUGAAAUGCGUAGAUAUUGGGAGGAACACCAGUGGCGAAGGCGGCUACCUGGACCGGUUCUGACGCUGAUGCGCGAAAGCGUGGGUAGCAAACAGG